rnacentral:rRNA from 1 species
UACGUAGGCAGCGAGCGUUGUUCGGAGUUACUGGGCGUAAAGGGUGUGUAGGCGGUUGUUUAAGUUUGGUGUGAAAUCUCCCCGGCUCAACUGGGAGGGUGCGCCGAAUACUGAAUGACUAGAGUGUGGGGAGAGGUGAGUGGAAUUCCUGGUGUAGCGGUGAAAUGCGUAGAUAUCAGGAGGAACACCGGUGGUGUAGACGGCUCACUGGACCAUAACUGACGCUGAGACACGGAAAGCGUGGGUAGCAAACAGG